rnacentral:rRNA from 1 species
UACGUAGGUGGCAAGCGUUGUCCGGAUUUAUUGGGUUUAAAGGGUGCGUAGGCGGCAUUUUAAGUCAGACGUGAAAUCCCUCGGCUUAACCGGGGAACUGCGUCUGAUACUGGAUGGCUUGAGAUUGGGAGAGGGAUGCGGAAUUCCAGGUGUAGCGGUGAAAUGCGUAGAUAUCAGGAGGAACACCGGUGGCGAAGGCGGGUCUCUGGGCCGAUACUGACGCUGAGGAGCGAAAGCGUGGGGAGCGAACAGG